rnacentral:rRNA from 1 species
GACGAACGCUGGCGGCGUGCUUAACACAUGCAAGUCGAACGGAAAGGCCCUGCUUUUGUGGGGUGCUCGAGUGGCGAACGGGUGAGUAACACGUGAGUAACCUGCCCUUGACUUUGGGAUAACUUCAGGAAACUGGGGCUAAUACCGGAUAGGAGCUCCUGCUGCAUGGUGGGGGUUGGAAAGUUUCGGCGGUUGGGGAUGGACUCGCGGCUUAUCAGCUUGUUGGUGGGGUAGUGGCUUACCAAGGCUUUGACGGGUAGCCGGCCUGAGAGGGUGACCGGCCACAUUGGGACUGAGAUACGGCCCAGACUCCUACGGGAGGCAGCAGUGGGGAAUAUUGCACAAUGGGCGGAAGCCUGAUGCAGCAACGCCGCGUGCGGGAUGACGGCCUUCGGGUUGUAAACCGCUUUCGCCUGUGACGAAGCGUGAGUGACGGUAAUGGGUAAAGAAGCGCCGGCUAACUACGG